rnacentral:lncRNA from 1 species
GUCAAUUCAGCCACAUUUGUAACAUCCCCGGAAAGACCUGAUCACAUCAUACUUAUCACGGGGGUUAGUUUUGCUCAAAUCAAUAUUACUUACUUUUCUCAUUGCUAUCUAAUGUUAUUUGGCCCUGCUGUGUUGAGUUUACAUUUCACAAUUGUAGCUUUUGUUUCUGCUAAGUUGCUAACACAUACAGUGUUGGCAAUGUUCUUCUUGUAGGGUCCUCUAAAUCGAGAAAUGAAAAUUUGGGUCUCAGCUGGGGAAGAAGGGUGGCUUCUACCAGCUGAUACUGAAUCAUGGAGGUGUACCCAGACACUUGAUUUGAAAAGUUCAUCUGAGCCACGAGCUGAAAAGGCAUUUUUCAACCAAGUUAUAGUAUUGCCUGAAGCAGGCCUGCUUUUACUUGCAAAUGCGAGAAGGAACGCCAUAUAUUCCGUGCAUUUGGACUAUGGCGCUUCUCCAGUUGAUACGCGGAUGGAUUACCUGUCAGAGUUUACAGUGACUAUGCCUAUAUUGAGUUUUAUUGGGACAAAUGAUCAUCCAGAAGAACCAAUUGUUAAGGUUUAUUGUGUUCAGACUCUAGCAAUCCAGCAGUAUACAGUAGACUUAUGCUUGUGCAUGCCACCUCCUAGAGAGAAUGUGGGUUUUGAGAAGUCAGAUUCUAGUGUGUCACGGGAGGCAAACCUUGUUGAAAGCACGUCAGAACCACCUGGAAUUAAGCCUACCGAAUUACCUUCAGCUGAUUCAGUGCCUAAACCAUCUAUUUUAGUGAAUAGAUCGGAAAGUGCUGAUACACUGAGUUUUCCAGCGGGUUCUGCAUCAGCAGAGGUCACACCACCAGCAAUUGUUCCACCCAACAGUGAUCCUAAAACUUCUGGGAUGCCUUCUGAGACCAGUGAUACAGGUUCUGCGUAUGCUCCUUCACCUCAACUUUCUCUAAGUCCCAGACUAUCAAGUAAACUUUCUGGCUAUCACACUCCUGUAGAAGCAAUUGAGCAAGUACUACCACGUCAUGAGCUUGGUGGGAAAACAAGUUCUGCUGAUUAUUCUUAUGAUAGGCAAAUUGAUGAUGUUGGAGAAAGAAAUUUGGAUGUGUCUUCUGUUGAGGAAAACUGUAGAAGAAAGGACACGAAUGUUACACCUGAUGAUGAUUUGUCUGGGAUUCGAAGCCCGUCAGCUUUUUUCAAACACCCCACUCAUCUCGUAACUCCUUCAGAGAUAUUGAUGGGCGUUUCGUCCACUGAAGCCUCCAUUGCUACUGAAGACAAGAGAGAUAGAGAUGCAAAUAUUCAGGAUGUGAAUAAUGAUGCAAGAGGCUUAGAAGUUGAGGUGAAAGAAGUAGGCGAAGCACGGACUUCACAGAAUGGUGAAAUCAACUAUCAUGAAACAACUGAGAAUCACACUUCAGAAAGUAGAGAAAAUAUCUUCUGCUCACAGGCUUCAAAUCUCAGCACUGAGAUGGCAAGAGACCGUCAUCCUAUUACAGAGGACACUGUCAUUCCAGGGGACUCUAUGACUUAUGUACAACCUUUUCAAUCUGGGGAUGAAAGGGGUCUUGACUCAAGAGAUGUGUCUGCAAAGCUUCCUGAGUCGGGUUCAUCUAGUGGGCCUCUACAGUCGCCAGCUACGACUAGCAAAGGGAAGAAGCAGAAGGCCAAAAAUUCACAGGGCCCCGGUUUGUCAUCUACAUCCUCAAAUGUUGCUAAUCUGGCUGACUCCUUCAAUGAUCGAAGUCAUCCCAUGACAGAUUCACUUGCUCAGUUGUUAGCAAUGCAAGAAACAAUGAAUCAGGUGACAAAUUUAUCUUGAAUCUAUUAAAACUUUCUCUCUCAACAAUAUCUGUUUUUAUACACUUGCAUCAUUUCACUGAGAUACACUAUUAAGCUUGGUGUUACCUUGAUUUUGCACAUAUGAGUUCCUUUAUUACAUUUGUUUUGAAACGAAAAUCAGAUUUGGUAUAUAACUGGCAUUUAUCGAUGAUAAGUUAUUGCUUUUCAUACCUUGGUAAUUUGUUGUUGUUUUAUUUGUUGACCUGAAACAUUAUUUUCCUUCCAGAUAAUGGCUUCGCAGAAGGAGAUGCAGAGACAACUAUCAAAUGCUGUCACUGGCCCUAUCGUAAAAGAAGGUAAAAAACUAGAAGUGGCCUUAGGGAGAAUGAUUGAGAAAUCCAGCAAGUCAAAUGCUGAUGCUCUAUGGGCCCGCUUCCAAGAGGAGGCUGUUAAGAAUGAAAAGGCAUUACGUGACCAUGGCCAGCAAAUUGUGAAUGCAACGACAAACUUCAUGAGCAAGGAGUUAAAUGCCAUGUUUGAGAAAACGAUGAAAAAGGAAUUUGCUAUAGUUGCUCCAACCCUAGCACGUGCAGUAACUCCAGUUAUUGAAAAAACUGUAUCUUCUGCAAUCACAGAGUCCUUCCAGGUUAGUAAUUUACAAGAAAUUUAGGGCUGGCUGAUUUAUGGGAAGGUCCAUUGUUGAAAAAGAAAACUGAUAUCUCUUUUAUACAGAGAGGAAUUGGUGACAAAGCAGUCAAUCAGCUUGAAAAAUCUGUUAAUUCAAAGCUUGAAACAACCAUAGCCAGGCAAAUUCAAGCCCAAUUUCAGACAUCUGGCAGACAAGCCCUCCAGGUAAAAAUUCGAGUAUAACCUAGUUUUUUGAUGCUUCAUAAACUUAUAUUCAAAUCUUGUGUAUACAAUCAUAACUGCAUUAUUGUUUAUUGUAAAUGCAGUUGUUGUAAAUGUCAAUAGAUAUCUUAUCACAAGCGCGACANNNNNNNNNNNNNNNNNNNNNNNNNNNNNNNNNNNNNNNNNNNNNNNNNNNNNNNNNNNNNNNNNNNNNNNNNNNNNNNNNNNNNNNNNNNNNNNNNNNNCCGGUUGACGAGACGGGCGCAUAUACUCUAGUUAGAUUUUUUGGUUUCUCUUUUGUUCAAUUUCCUUUAAAUGUAACAUCUGGUUGUUUCUACGUCUAUAAUAUUCUCUUUUCUUCUCCGAGUAGACCUCAAUAGACCAAAGAAUGAGUUUGCUAGGCUUCGUAUUGGAUCUGGAAAAUCCUGAGAAAACAUGAAGAUCAUGUAUGGGCAGGUUAUAUAGAUUUUCUAGUAGAGAGAUGAGUUUGAAAGACAUUAUGAGAAUCUGGUUGGCAGUAAGCAGAAUAAGUAUUUGUUGUUGGGUUCGGUUGCAUAUACUUAUAUGUGAGCUGACCAUGAAUCAGAAUCCUUAUCCUCUUCUUCUCUUUUGUUGGAGGGGUUCCCAUUAAGAAGAAGAGCAAGAAGUUGGAAAAUCAGGGUGAAUCUCUGAGAUAAAGCCCAAUAAUUGAAAUGAAGGAGGCCCAAACAAGUAAAAUCUUAAUUUUUACAGAACGGUCUCAUAUUUUAAUAUAUACACGAUCAUCACCCCAUAACUUUUCGUGAUCUGGAUCAUGCCCCAAUUAAUUUUUCAUUAAAGAAGAAGGAAAAAAAGUUAAAGGGGGUGUUAUUAGUUUGUUAAUUUGUAAAUCCAUAUAGAAUUUGAAAAUUUCUAUUAAUUAUGAAAUCAAGAUAUAUGGAUUUUGAAAUAACAUGUGUUUACCCAUGGAUUGCAUAUACUUAUAUGUGAGCUGACCAUGAAUCAGAAUCCUUAUCCUCUUCUUCUCUUUUGUUGGAGGGGUUCCCAUUAAGAAGAAACGAAUAACAUAAGAUUUUAACUAGUAUUUAUAAAUCAUAGAACCAAUAACACAUGAAUUUAAUUAGGAUUUUAAAAUCUUAAUUUUUACAGAACGGUCUCAUAUUUUAAUAUAUACACGAUCAUCACCCCAUAACUUUUCGUGAUCCUAAGUCUCCAAAAGUUCUCUACCUGUUCUCACUUUCCAGUCAUCAUCGUCUCUCUAUUGUUGCUCUCUCUCUCUUUUUUUUUUUUUAUGUGACUUUCAGAUCCGCCGAGUCUUCUUUUUGUGGAAUCUUUUCAAGGAAGCUCAGUAUUCAAAAUACACCUCUCUUUUUUGAUCGAUUUCACAAACCCUAGCUUCGGCGAUCUUAAAUCUGCAAAACAUCUAUGGCGUCUUCUCCUGGUAAUACUAACCCUCAUAAUCCUCCUCCGUUUGAUCUCGGUAUUCUCUUCAAACCUCCAUCGAAUCCUUAUCCGCCGCCGCCGGCAUCUUAUCCUCCGCCUACAGGUCCUUUUCUUCACAAUCAGUACGAUCAGCAGCACUACGCGCCGCCUGGUAUCUCCGCUCAACCAUCGCCGGUGACUCAACAGCAACAGGAUGUGUCUUCCUCUUCCGCCGCGACUAACUUGCAUCCACAGAGAACGCUAUCUUAUCCCACGCCACCUCUCAACCUACAAUCCCCCCGUUCCAAUCACAAUCCCGGUACGCACAUCCUCGCUCUCCUCAAUAAUAACAACGGAGUCCCGGUGGCUAACCAAGAGCCGUCGCAUCAGCUUCCAGUAGUGAAUCACAACGAGAUCGCUCGCUCUUUUCCCGGCGGUUCAGGUCCUAUUCGUGUUCCGAGCUGUAAACUGCCCAAGGGAAGGCGAUUGAUUGGUGAACACGCGGUGUACGAUGUGGAUGUGAGAUUACAAGGUGAGAUUCAGCCGCAGCUGGAGGUGACUCCGAUUACCAAAUACGGCUCGGAUCCUCAGCUCGUAGUCGGUAGGCAAAUCGCCGUGAAUAAGGUCUACAUUUGCUAUGGAUUGAAAGGAGGAAACAUUAGGGUUCUCAAUAUCAACACAGCAUUGAGGUCUCUGUUCCGUGGCCAUUCACAGGUUCGUUUACUUUUUCUCUGCAAUUUGUGAAUUACUUAUUCAAGUGCCCAUCAGCAUAGUAAGUACUCAUCUAGUUCUAACUUCUAACUACGUGUUUAUAUACAGAGAGUGACGGACAUGGCUUUCUUUGCCGAGGAUGUUGAUAUGUUGGCCAGGUAAUGUUCUGGAACUGUCGUCUAAUUAGGCUAUGCUAUUUGUACAUAUAUGGAAGAGGGGCUCAUUGAAUUCUCCUUUGACGUUGUGGUUUAUACCUCGAUUUUUCUGUUUCUUUUAAACAGUGUUAGUCUAGAUGGAAAAGUUUUCGUGUGGAAAAUUUCUGAAGGGUCUGAGGGAGAGGAUCAGCCCCAAAUAACUGGGAAGAUAGUACUUGCUCUUCAGAUACUAGGAGAGGAAGACACCAAACAUCCACGCGUUUGUUGGCACUGCCACAAACAGGUAGUUGAACAUAUUUCUUUUGCUACGGGAAGUUGCAUAAGAUUCUUCUUAGAACAAGCUUCUGAUUGCGUAAAAUCUACUUUUUCAGGAAAUUUUGGUAGUUUCAAUUGGUAAACAUGUGUUGCGAAUUGAUACUACAAAAGUUGGCAGAGGUGAAGUAUUCUCUGCUGAGGCCCCUCUCCAGUGUCCCCUUGAUAAACUCAUUGAUGGUGUUCAGAUUGUUGGUAAGCAUGAUGGAGAAGUUACUGAUUUGUCAAUGUGCCAAUGGAUGACCACACGCCUGGUUUCUUCUUCAGUUGAUGGCACGGUUUGUGUUUGUUCUUAUCAUUCCUUUUCUUUAAACCUCACUGAAAUGAAUCAUUCCAAAGAACUCAAGUUUAAACUGAUUACGUUGCAAACUGGGUGUAAUCGUGACAUUUUCGUAAUUAGAACUAGCCAGCCUUGUUAGUUUGGUUCUGUAAGUGCAUUUGACAUUCAAUUACUAUUCUAGCUCAUUUUAAAUUUUUGAAGGUUUGCUAAGUUCCAUUCCAGACUUGCACUGGGUAUCAUACUAUCAUCUCUUUUCAACCAGGAACUAUUUUGCAACAGCUAGUAUUUUUGUAAGCGUGAGUCUUACUCCUUCUUUUCUUAUAACCACCGUACAGAUUAAGAUAUGGCAAGAUCGUAAGGCACAACCACUUGUAGUUUUGAGGCCUCAUGAUGGACAUCCAGUCAGUUCAGCCACGUUUGUGACAUCUCCUGAGAGACCUGAUCACAUCAUACUUAUCACGGGGGUGUGUUCUUGAAUCAAUACUACUGACUUUUCUCAGCUAUAUCUAAUGUUAUUUGGCUCUGCUGUGUUGAGUUUACAUUUUAUAAUUGUAGCUUUCCUCUCUGCUAAGUUGCUAACUCUGACAGUGUUGGCAAUGUUCU